GUUAAGGUCACACAAGAAUUGCCCCUUGUGUCGUGCUCCUAUUGUCUCCGAUAAUGAUACUUCUCCUCGGAUGGAUCGUGUUGUGGAAGUUGUAAGUGUAGGUGAUGAUGGCUCUAGUACGAAUGAUGUUGAUCUUGAAUUGGAUGAAGAGGGGAAUAAUCAAGAAAUGAGGUGUGGAGUAGUUGAAAAUGUUGAUGAGGAGGAGGAGGAAGGGAGAUCAACGCUGGACUUAUCGAUGAAAAUUCCACGAGUUAAUGUUGAUGGAAGGAGGAAAGGGGGUCGUGCUUUUAGCGAUUUGGUUGAUCAACAUAGAGUAGUGAAGGAGAUCAACGAUGAACUACAACCUGCACGAAGAUCGGUCUCAAUGGAUUCCUCUGUUGCUCGAGUGAUUCACCUCGCGAUGAACGAGAUGAAUUCGAAGAAAUUUGAUCAAGGGUGUUCGAGUUCAAAGAGAGGAGAUAGAAAUUCGAGUUUGUAUAAAGCAAUGAAGAGUUCUUCCUUUGGACUUUCAUUGCAAAAAGUUCCUAUAAUUAGUAUGAAAAGGUCUUUUUCUACUAGUGGAAAGUGUUCAUUGCCUACAACUAGCAAGAUUCAAGAUCCAAGACAAACAAUGUAAGAAUACUUCACUUUACUUCUUGAAUUCUUCAAGUUGGGUUCAAGAUUUACAUAUAUAUAUAUGAAAAAUAUAAAGUGUAAAAGUUGUGUUCUACAUAAAGGACUUGGAAACAAAUGAAUUUUAUGAAGAAAUAUUUGAAUUUAUUAGGUUAAUAAUACAGCAAGAGACGGAGCAAAGUUUAUUUCGCUCGAUGUUUACACUAAUCCAAUGAAACGUUAUCUUGCAAUGAGAUUGUCAAUUUGAUGUUGAAUUUCGC
rnacentral:misc_RNA from 1 species